rnacentral:rRNA from 1 species
AACGAACGCUGGCGGCAGGCUUAACACAUGCAAGUCGAACGCAUCCUUCGGGGUGAGUGGCAGACGGGUGAGUAACGCGUGAGAACGUGCCCUUCAGUUCGGGAUAACCCAGGGAAACUUGGGCUAAUACCGGAUACGUGCGAGAGCAGAAAGAUUUAUCGCCGAAGGAUCGGCCCGCGACUGAUUAGCUAGUUGGUGGGGUAAUGGCCCACCAAGGCGACGAUCAGUAGCUGGUCUGAGAGGAUGAUCAGCCACAUUGGGACUGAGACACGGCCCAAACUCCUACGGGGGGAAGAAGUGGGGAAUAUUGGACAAUGGGCGCAAGCCUGAUCCAGCCAUGCGGCGUGAGUGAUGAAGGCCUUAGGGUUGUAAAGCUCUUUCGUCCGGGACGAUAAUGACGGUACCGGAAGAAGAAGCCCCGGCUAUCUUCGUGCCAGCAGCCGCCGUAA